CCUACGGGAGGCAGCAGUGGGGAAUAUUGGGCAAUGGGCGCAAGCCUGACGCAGCAACGCCGCGUGAAGGAAGAAGGCUUUCGGGUUGUAAACUUCUUUUCUCAGGGACGAAGAAAGUGACGGUACCUGAGGAAUAAGCCGCGGCUAACUACGUGCCAGCAGCCGCGGUAAUACGUAGGUGGCAAGCGUUAUCCGGAUUUACUGGGUGUAAAGGGCGUGUAGGCGGGACUGCAAGUCAGAUGUGAAAACCACGGGCUCAACCGCGGAACUGCAUUUGAAACUGGUUUGCUGGAGUACCGGAGAGGUUAUUGGAAUUCCGUGUGUAGCGGUGAAAUGCGUAGAUAUAAGGAAGAACACCAGUGGCGAAGGCGGAUGACUGGACGGCAACUGACGGUGAGGCGCGAAAGCGUGGGGAGCAAACAGGAUUAGAUACCCUUGUAGUC
rnacentral:rRNA from 1 species